rnacentral:sRNA from 1 species
UUAUAAAAAAAUACGGAUCGAAGCGGAUAUUCGACUUUUUAAAAAAUAAUAUUUAUUAUUUGAUUCGGUUUUUACGAAUACUACAUUUUCCUAUUUGCUUUACUCAAAAAUCUUACAGAUAUUCGGAUUUUUCGAAUCAAAUCAAAUCAAAUACCGAAUCGAAGCGGAUCGAACGAAUAUUUUGCCCAGCCUUAGUUCGUAAUCAUCUUGUCUAAUUAAUGUCGACUGUCGACCGGAUCACGGAUUAAUAAAAGAUUGAU